UGUGAGAUCAUUCUUAUCGGGUACUGUUGGGGAGUUGGCGUGUGAUGAGGUUGGUGAGACGUUAAUCUACUGGAAGUAGGAGGAUUUGUUGUUGCAGAAUUUUGUGUAAUAGUACUUUUUGUAUCAUGGGCCAUAGAGUGAUGGCGCGUUUGGUUUGUCCUGAAAGGCUUUGAGCUAUUCUGCAAAAUUGCUGAUUAUGUCCGCGGUCAUUUUAAAGUGUUGCAACACUUUAAGGGAUUGCAGAAUAGGGGUGACAUGUUUGUCGAGAGGCCUGAUAGCUGGUUUACUGGGAAAUGCAUAUUAGUGCAGCGCGGUUUUUCUAGGUGACAUAUAAUGGGUGUUAGUUCGAGAGCCGUAGUGAGGCCGCAGGGGUGAAGCUCUGCGGUUUUCGGGUGUGCUUUGGUAAGUAUAAAAUAGGGUUAAUAGUGCUUUUUUUAUGUUGACGGUUCCUUCAAGGCGGUUCUAAGAAAAUUUCUAUUUUUACCGGUGUUGUUAGUUUAGUUUAAACUUUCGAGAUUAGUAUGGUAUGAGUAAGUGGAGAAGGUAAAUGUUUAUUACCUGUUUGGUGGGUAGUUCUUUUUUUGUUUGAAUAUUUUUGUAAUAGGGAUGUGCUGGACUGGUCCCUCUGUGGGUUUUGUGACGGGGGAUUUCAGCGGCGCAAUUGAUGUGAAGAAAAGUAGAGUAAAGGAACUCGGCAAAAAUUUUCCUCGCCUGUUUAUUAAAAACAUCGCUCUCAGUUGGUUAGCAUUGAGGGUCGUGCCUGCCCGGUGGGUUAUGAUGGCCUAAACGGUUGCUGUUGAUAGCAGUACUAAGGUAGCACAGUAAAUUGUCCUUUAAUUGGGGAAUAGUAUGAAUGGUUUGACGUGGGAGAAACUGUCUUUGGUCUAGUUGUUGAAAUUUACUUUUGUGUGAAAAGGCAUAAAUGAUUAUAUUAGACGAGAAGACCCCGUCGAGCUUGAUGACGGUCAAAACUGGGUUUUUGAUUUGAAGUUUAAUUGGGGUGAUUGAGUGCAGGAUUAACGCACUUUUUGUAGUUGUUGAUUUAGAUCCCCUUUUAGGGAGAAGAAGAAAAAGCUACCGCGGGGAUAACAGCGUAAUAUCUUUGGAGAGAUCUUAUUGAAGAGGGGUGUUGCGACCUCGAUGUUGAAUUAAGGUAUCACCCCGGCGCAGCCGUUGGGGUUGUGGGACUGUUCGUCCUUUAAAACCUUACAUGAUUUGAGUUUAGACCGGCGUGAGCUAGGUCGGAUUCUAUCUUUAUUUGAAGCUGCCUUUGUACGAAAGGAUCGGGGAGCUGGCCAGCAGCGGCUUUGAGUUUAUUGUGUUAAU
rnacentral:rRNA from 1 species